GUGCCUCUUUCAUUUCAGUACGCACGAUCGCUGACGAGCACGGCUGUUUUUGGUGGACAGUUCAUCUUUUACAUCAUUGUUUUCUUGUUUAACAUGAAGGUGACAUCAACGCUCAUAAUCUUUUCGCUGCUUUGCCUUCUGGUAGUGCAAGGACGAUAUUUACAGGUAUGGAAGAUCUAAUUAACAUAUUGUCCGGGUAGUUUGACGACUUGUUUGAAACCAUAUAACUAAUUAGCAUAUUUCACG
rnacentral:lncRNA from 1 species